ensembl:lncRNA
UUAUGUUUUUGUUCUAUUAUUGGUGGAUAAAAGUAUGCCAAUUCAUCAUAAGAAACAUUUCUUCUUUGAAGUAAAAAUUGAGAGAAAUUACUAUGUCGGUUAUUAUACAAGGCACACAGUAAACAAAAUUUUCAACAAUGUUUUCCAGAAAAUGCAGACAGUUCUUAUACCAUUAAAAUGGACUCUAUAAAAGCAUGUAGUGAAAUACUAAAAACAACUCAGUAAACAUACUUCUAGGGGAACAGAGGGCUAAGGAUGUUGAAUAAUCAUUCAGUACAUAUUUAUAUUUAUUAAAUGUUAUGUACUGGUGACAGUGCAGUAAACAAAAGUGAGAAAGUUAUUCUUCUCGUGGCACUUACAUCAAUGGAAAAAUCGAGAUCCAAUUCUUGAGGGGAGAAGUUGUUAAUUUACUACUGCUCUUCCACUUUUAAUGAAAAAUCAAAAUAUAGCCAUAGCUCCAUCAAGAUUUUUUUAAACUGUAUGAAGUCAGAUAAAAAUAACAGCAUUAGGUGAUAGGAGAGAUGAUCUAUACUUAAUUUAAACUAUGUCAGGUUCAACUCUGAGAAGGCAGAUAUUUAGUAAUUGUCAGUUGUGAUAUAUAUUUGUAUACCAUAUUCUGUUUUACCUAAGCCAUAAACUCAGUGAGAGUAUCCUGAAAUCUAUUCUCAUUAAUUAUUUGUUCUGUAUUAGUCAACUAUAGCCACAAUAAAGCUGUAUAACAAACCGCUCUGAAAGAAGUGGCAUGCAAAUCAAGGUUUGAUUUCUCACUCUUGUGCUGUGGUUUGGCUGGAGUUCAGUUGAUCCAAGGCUGUGAUCAAUUCUUGACCAUGGGUUUGGUUCAGAUAAAUAUGCAGUUAUAAGAAAUAACACAGAGAUUCCAUAUACCUUCACCCAGUUUCUCCCAAAGGUAACAUCUUGCAAAACUAGGGUAUAAUGUCACAAACAGACAAAUGACACUGAUACUAUCCACCAAUCUUAUUCAGAUUUCACCAAUUUUACAUGCACUUGUAUAUAUAUGUGUGUCUGUGUAUGUGUAAUGCUACCAAUCUUAUGUGAAGAGUCAUAUGAACACCACCAGCACAAUAAGACACAGAAUAGUUCCAUUACAGGGAUCCCUUGUGCUAUCCUUCUAUAGCUACAGCCAACCUCUGCUCUCCCCUACCAACUCAUGACGACUACGAAUUGGUCCUCUAUCUCAAAAUUUUGUCUGUUUAAGAAUGUUAUAUAAAAGGAAUCACAUAGUAUGUAACCUUUGAAAUUGGCAUUUUUCAGUUUGAAUAAUUCCCUUGAGAUCCAUCCAAGUUGUUAUGUGUAUCAAUAGUUUGCUCCUUUUUAUUGUUGAAUAGUAUUCCAUGGUAUGAUGACCCACAGUCUACUUAACCAGUCACCUAUUGUAGGACAAUGUUUUUCUAUAAUUUUGGCAAUUAUGAAAUAAAUCUACUAUUAAUAUUCAUUUAUAGGUUUUACGUGAACCUAAGUUUUUGUUUCUCUAGGAUAAAUGUCCAAUAGUUUAAUUGCUGGGUCAGAUGGAAAACAAAUGUGUAGUUUUAUAUGAAAUUUCCAUAUUAUUUUCCAAAGCAGCUGUAGCAUUUUACAUUCUUUUGAGAAAUGUAUGAAUGAUCCAGAUUCUCUAAAAAUAAUAUAUCUUCUAAAAUGUGCUGGGAUAAUGAGGCCUCUAUUUUACAAAAUAUGGAUAAAAUGUCAGUUUAUUAACACUCACUUUAUAGGAACUGAAGAAGUAUGCGUUUCUUGGAAACUGUUUAAAACAAGGCUUAAAGCAGUGUUCAAGAACUAGAAAACUUCUCACAAAACUCAAGAAACUUCACUUUAAUACCAUCUUCUGAAAACUCUAAUCUUGCUUUUUAAUUUAUGGAAUUAUAUAUUUCAAUGUAUAAAAUAAAAUUAUCAUGGAUUAUAGUGGUUUCAUAAAUAUAACCUGAUGAUGACAAUAAAUAGUUUGAGAUGACUAUGAUAUAAUAGGUUACGCCAAUCUCUAUGUAUUUUGGGAUGCCAUAGCUCCAAAAGAAAUGGCUCUGUAGUUUGUAUAAGUAAAGAAAGUACAAACUGAGGGUCAUACCUUUAAUGUUAUAACCAUUGGGGUUGUUUUUGUUUUUCUUCUGCUUAUUAAUGUGGUUCUCAAAUUUAGCUGUUUAUCAGAAUGGCAUAUGAAUUUUAAAAAACUACCGAGACUCAUGCCAAAAAGCAGACAUAUGGAAUAAGAAUCUCAAGAGUUGCAAUCCAAGCAAUAUAAAUGACUCUAGAACACAGCAAAGUUGUGAACCACUGGUUUUGCCUUAAGUCAACCUGGUUUUAUUAAUUGAGUGACUAUGGUAGUAAAGGAAUCUUUAGACACAAUAAUCAAAGAAUCUUGUUUUGUCACUUCUCUGUCACACACACAAAAACUCACCAGAUUUGUAUGAUCCUCAUAUAUUUACUAUAAAAGUAACAAAAUUCCUUUUUAAAAGCACAGAGCAGUCCACUGGCUCCAGUUGAGCAAAAUCUAUUUUCUAUCCUCAGGUCCUUUUUAAUUUUGCUCACCAAACUUACAAUCUUGACUCCUGAAUUUGUCUUGUACACUGGUCUAUCUCAUUUUGUUUUUACUUGAUGACACCUAUAGCUUUUAUGAUGCAGUCUAAAUUUCCAGCCAAUUCUGCUUUCAAAGUCUUUUUAUUCUGUGUUAAGAGGUCUCGGAGAAUACUGUACAAUUUUGUUUUUUCCUUCAUGUAUUAAGAGUUUUCAGACUCCAAUUUCAUUAAACCAGGGAUUUCAGAGGAAAGUUCACUGAAUUCUGUGACCAUGGGAGGAUGGUGAUGGGAGAGGGGGUACAGUCUAUUUAGAGAGGUGGGGGCAGUGGGUUUUUUUAUUUUAGUGAAAUCAUUGUCAGUUCACCAUUUUAUCAGUGUAGGGUUUUACUGAAUGAUUUACCACCUUCAAGUAAGAACAGAGCAGCAGAUCAAGUCUUUUGGACAUUUUCCUAUCCUGAAUCAGUGGUUCUGGGCUACAAUCUCCCCAGUAAUUCAUAAGUGAGGUUGGAAAGGUCUGACUUUCAGGAGCCAUUAAUCAACACUCUUUCUGCAGUAAGUUGCAAACACUAGCAUUAUAAUGCUUGCUAUCAGAUAUGUUCCUAGGUGUGUAUCCUGGGCCUUGUCAAAGGAAGUGAAAACUUCCAAGGAUCAGUAAACUUGGAACACUUCUUAUUCAUCUCUGA